rnacentral:pre_miRNA from 1 species
AGCCCUCUGUAUCGUGCUGAGAUUUCUUCAGCGAUCAAACCAUUGGGGCUGAUGCAACUCCCUAAAUAAGUGAAGUG